rnacentral:SRP_RNA from 1 species
GCCGGGCGCGGCGGCUCAAGCCUGUAAUCCCAGCACUUUGGGAGGCCGAGACGGGUGGAUCACGAGGUCAGGAGAUUGAGACCAUCCUGGCUAACACGGUGAAAUCCCGUCUCUAUUAAAANNNNNNNNNNUUUUAAUAGAGACGGGAUUUCACCGUGUUAGCCAGGAUGGUCUCAAUCUCCUGACCUCGUGAUCCACCCGUCUCGGC